rnacentral:misc_RNA from 1 species
GAAAUGCGAUAAGUAAUGUGAAUUGCAGAAUUCAGUGAAUCAUCGAAUCUUUGAACGCACAUUGCGCCCGCCAGUAUUCUGGCGGGCAUGCCUGUUCGAGCGUCAUUUCAACCAUCAAGCCCCCGGGCUUGUGUUGGGGACCUGCGGCUGCCCGCAGGCCCUGAAAACCAGUGGCGGGCUCGCUGUCACACCGAGUGUAGUAGCAAUCACCUCGCUCAGGGCGUGCUGCGGGUUCCGGCCGUUAAACAGCCUUACAAAACCCAAGGUUGACCUCGGAUCAGGUAGGAAGACCCGCUGAACUUAAGC